AAUGGCUCAUUAAAUCAGUUAUCGUUUAUUUGAUAGUACCUACCAACUACUUGGAUAACCGUGGUAAUUCUAGAGCUAAUACAUGCUAAAAACCCCGACUUCGGGAGGGGUGUAUUUAUUAGAUAAAAAACCAAUGCCCCUCGGGGCUCCUUGGUGAAUCAUAAUAACUUAACGGAUCGCAUGGCCUUGCGCCGGCGACGGUUCAUUCAAAUUUCUGCCCUAUCAACUUUCGAUGGUAAGGUAUUGGCUUACCAUGGUUUCAACGGGUAACGGGGAAUUAGGGUUCGAUUCCGGAGAGGGAGCCUGAGAAACGGCUACCACAUCCAAGGAAGGCAGCAGGCGCGCAAAUUACCCAAUCCCGACACGGGGAGGUAGUGACAAUAAAUACUGAUACAGGGCUCUUUUGGGUCUUGUAAUCGGAAUGAGUACAAUUUAAACCCCUUAACGAGGAACAAUUGGAGGGCAAGUCUGGUGCCAGCAGCCGCGGUAAUUCCAGCUCCAAUAGCGUAUAUUAAAGUUGUUGCAGUUAAAAAGCUCGUAGUUGAACCUUGGGCCUGGCUGGCCGGUCCGCCUCACCGCGUGUACUGGUCCGGCCGGGCCUUUCCUUCUGGAGAGCCGCAUGCCCUUCACUGGGUGUGUCGGGGAACCAGGACUUUUACUUUGAAAAAAUUAGAGUGUUCAAAGCAGGCCUUUGCUCGAAUACGUUAGCAUGGAAUAAUAGAAUAGGACGUGCGGUCCUAUUUUGUUGGUUUCUAGGACCGCCGUAAUGAUUAAUAGGGAUAGUCGGGGGCAUCAGUAUUCAAUUUGUCAGAGGUGAAAUUCUUGGGAUUUAUUGAAGACUAACUACUGCGAAAGCAUUUGCCAAGGAUGUUUUCAUUAAUCAGUGAACGAAAGUUAGGGGAUCGAAGACGAUCAGAUACCGUCGUAGUCUUAACCGUAAACUAUGCCGACUAGGGAUCGGGCGAUGUUUCUAUCUUGACUCGCUCGGCACCU
rnacentral:rRNA from 1 species